rnacentral:rRNA from 1 species
GACAGAGGUGGCAAGCGUUGUUCGGAAUUACUGGGCUUAAAGGGCGCGUAGGCGGUGAGAUAAGUCUGAGGUGAAAUCUUAGGGCUUAACCCUAAAAUUGCCUUGGAAACUGUUUUACUUGAGUCAGCGAGGGGAUGGUGGAAUUCCUGGUGUAGCAGUGAAAUGCGUAGAUAUCAGGAGGAAGGCCGGUGGCGAAGGCGGCCAUCUGGCGCUGAACUGACGCUGAGGCGCGAAAGCGUGGGGAG